rnacentral:rRNA from 1 species
GACGAACGCUGGCGGCGUGCUUAACACAUGCAAGUCGAACGGAAAGGCCCUGCUUUUGUGGGGUGCUCGAGUGGCGAACGGGUGAGUAACACGUGAGUAACCUGCCCUUGACUUUGGGAUAACUUCAGGAAACUGGGGCUAAUAACGGAUAGGAGCUCCUGCUGCAUGGUGGGGGUUGGAAAGUUUCGGCGGUUGGGGAUAGACUCGCGGCUUAUCAGCUUGUUGGUGGGGUAGUGGCUUACCAAGGCUUUGACGGAUAGCCGGCCUGAGAGGGUGACCGGCCACAUUGGGACUGAGAUACGGCCCAGACUCCUACGUGAGGCAGCAGUGGAGAAUAUUGCACAAUGGGCGGACGCCUGAUGCAGCAACGCCGCGUGCGGGAUGACGGCCUUCGAGGUGUAAACCUCUUUCGCCUGUGACGAAACGUGAGUGACGGUAAUGGGUAAAGAAGCCCCGGCUAACUACGUG